UACGGGGGGAGCAAGCGUUGUUCGGAUUUACUGGGCGUAAAGGGCGCGUAGGCGGUCAGCACAAGUCAGUUGUGAAAUCUCCGGGCUUAACUCGGAAAGGUCAACUGAUACUGUGCGACUAGAGUGCAGAAGGGGCAACUGGAAUUCUCGGUGUAGCGGUGAAAUGCGUAGAUAUCGAGAGGAACACCUGCGGCGAAGGCGAGUCUCUGGACAGUUACUGACACUGAGGCACGAAGGC
rnacentral:rRNA from 1 species